rnacentral:rRNA from 1 species
GGGUUGUGAGGUUAAGCGACUAAGCGUACACGGUGGAUGCCCUGGCAGUCAGAGGCGAUGAAGGACGUGCUAAUCUGCGAAAAGCGCCGGCGAGGUGAUAUGAACCUUUGACCCGGCGAUGUCCGAAUGGGGAAACCCAGUGUGUUCCGACACACUAUCGUUAACUGAAUACAUAGGUUAACGAGGCGAACCGGGGGAACUGAAACAUCUAAGUACCCCGAGGAAAAGAAAUCAACCGAGAUUCCCCCAGUAGCGGCGAGCGAACGGGGAGCAGCCCAGAGUCUGAAUCAGCUUGUGUGUUAGUGGAAGCGUCUGGAAAGUCGCACGGUACAGGGUGAAAGUCCCGUACACGAAAGCACACAGGCUGUGAACUCGAAGAGUAGGGCGGGACACGUGGUAUCCUGUCUGAAUAUGGGGGGACCAUCCUCCAAGGCUAAAUACUCCUGACUGACCGAUAGUGAACCAGUACCGUGAGGGAAAGGCGAAAAGAACCCCGGCGAGGGGAGUGAAAAAGAACCUGAAACCGUGUACGUACAAGCAGUGGGAGCCUCUUUUAUGGGGUGACUGCGUACCUUUUGUAUAAUGGGUCAGCGACUUAUAUUCUGUAGCAAGGUUAACCGUAUAGGGGAGCCGAAGGGAAACCGAGUCUUAACUGGGCGUUAAGUUGCAGGGUAUAGACCCGAAACCCGGUGAUCUAGCCAUGGGCAGGUUGAAGGUUGGGUAACACUAACUGGAGGACCGAACCGACUAAUGUUGAAAAAUUAGCGGAUGACUUGUGGCUGGGGGUGAAAGGCCAAUCAAACCGGGAGAUAGCUGGUUCUCCCCGAAAGCUAUUUAGGUAGCGCCUCGUGAACUCAUCUUCGGGGGUAGAGCACUGUUUCGGCUAGGGGGCCAUCCCGGCUUACCAACCCGAUGCAAACUACGAAUACCGAAGAAUGUUAUCACGGGAGACACACGGCGGGUGCUAACGUCCGUCGUGAAGAGGGAAACAACCCAGACCGCCAGCUAAGGUCCCAAAGUCAUGGUUAAGUGGGAAACGAUGUGGGAAGGCACAGACAGCCAGGAUGUUGGCUUAGAAGCAGCCAUCAUUUAAAGAAAGCGUAAUAGCUCACUGGUCGAGUCGGCCUGCGCGGAAGAUGUAACGGGGCUAAACCAUGCACCGAAGCUGCGGCAGCGACGCUUAUGCGUUGUUGGGUAGGGGAGCGUUCUGUAAGCCGUUGAAGGUGUCCUGUGAGGGGUGCUGGAGGUAUCAGAAGUGCGAAUGCUGACAUAAGUAACGAUAAAGCGGGUGAAAAGCCCGCUCGCCGGAAGACCAAGGGUUCCUGUCCAACGUUAAUCGGGGCAGGGUGAGUCGACCCCUAAGGCGAGGCCGAAAGGCGUAGUCGAUGGGAAACAGGUUAAUAUUCCUGUACUUGGUGUUACUGCGAAGGGGGGACGGAGAAGGCUAUGUUAGCCGGGCGACGGUUGUCCCGGUUUAAGCAUGUAGGCGGAGGUUCCAGGUAAAUCCGGUUCCUUGUUAACGCUGAGGUGUGAUGACGAGGCACUACGGUGCUGAAGUAACAAAUGCCCUGCUUCCAGGAAAAGCCUCUAAGCAUCAGGUAACAUCAAAUCGUACCCCAAACCGACACAGGUGGUCAGGUAGAGAAUACCAAGGCGCUUGAGAGAACUCGGGUGAAGGAACUAGGCAAAAUGGUGCCGUAACUUCGGGAGAAGGCACGCUGAUAUGUAGGUGAAGUCCCUGCGGAUGGAGCUGAAAUCAGUCGAAGAUACCAGCUGGCUGCAACUGUUUAUUAAAAACACAGCACUGUGCAAACACGAAAGUGGACGUAUACGGUGUGACGCCUGCCCGGUGCCGGAAGGUUAAUUGAUGGGGUUAGCGGUAACGCGAAGCUCUUGAUCGAAGCCCCGGUAAACGGCGGCCGUAACUAUAACGGUCCUAAGGUAGCGAAAUUCCUUGUCGGGUAAGUUCCGACCUGCACGAAUGGCGUAAUGAUGGCCAGGCUGUCUCCACCCGAGACUCAGUGAAAUUGAACUCGCUGUGAAGAUGCAGUGUACCCGCGGCAAGACGGAAAGACCCCGUGAACCUUUACUAUAGCUUGACACUGAACACUGGUCCUUGAUGUGUAGGAUAGGUGGGAGGCUUUGAAGCGUGGACGCCAGUCUGCGUGGAGCCAACCUUGAAAUACCACCCUUUAAUGGCUGGUGUUCUAACGUAGACCCGUAAUCCGGGUUGCGGACAGUGUCUGGUGGGUAGUUUGACUGGGGCGGUCUCCUCCCAAAGAGUAACGGAGGAGCACGAAGGUUAGCUAAUCCUGGUCGGACAUCAGGAGGUUAGUGCAAUGGCAUAAGCUAGCUUGACUGCGAGAGUGACGGCUCGAGCAGGUGCGAAAGCAGGUCAUAGUGAUCCGGUGGUUCUGAAUGGAAGGGCCAUCGCUCAACGGAUAAAAGGUACUCCGGGGAUAACAGGCUGAUACCGCCCAAGAGUUCAUAUCGACGGCGGUGUUUGGCACCUCGAUGUCGGCUCAUCACAUCCUGGGGCUGAAGUAGGUCCCAAGGGUAUGGCUGUUCGCCAUUUAAAGUGGUACGCGAGCUGGGUUUAGAACGUCGUGAGACAGUUCGGUCCCUAUCUGCCGUGGGCGCUGGAGAAUUGAGGGGGGCUGCUCCUAGUACGAGAGGACCGGAGUGGACGCAUCACUGGUGUUCGGGUUGUCAUGCCAAUGGCACUGCCCGGUAGCUAAAUGCGGAAGAGAUAAGUGCUGAAAGCAUCUAAGCACGAAACUUGCCCCGAGAUGAGUUCUCCCUGAGACUUUAAGUCUCCUGAAGGAACGUUGAAGACUACGACGUUGAUAGGUCGGGUGUGUAAGCGCAGCGAUGCGUUGAGCUAACCGAUACUAAUGAACCGUGAGGCUUAACCUUACAACGCCGAAG